rnacentral:misc_RNA from 1 species
GAAAAUUUUCACUGCUUAUUAAAAAUUCCAAGGAAUUGAAUGACACUUUUCUUGGAUUUGGACUUGGAGUUCUAAUCUGAAUAAGGGAGAGGUUUAAUAAAAAGAAAUAAUAAGCCAUGUACAUGACAUUUAUAUGACAUCCAUGGUGUAACCUUAGCUCCAUUUUAGUAAAAUUCAUUUAUUUUUUCCUAAAGGCAAACAAACCCUAACAAAUGCAACUAAACAAAAUCCUAGCUGUUGUCUCCUUAAAAGCGCCGUCGGCAACAGGGACUAGGCAAAGAGCAGUUCUCCGGAACACAUGCAGAAUUACUCCUUCCUCCAAGACAAGCAAGACAAACAAACUAGCCAAAGCAAAGAAAACACCUCUUAGGCAACCAAAUUGACAAAUCUGCUAGAUUAAAUACCAGAGGGCUCUAAUGCUGACUCCAAAGAAGAGAAGAAAAGCAGGGCCACGACAAUCUCAGUCUCAUCUAGCCUCAGGAAGCUAGCAAACGCUCAUAACACUGACUCUGCAAUCCCCUUUCCACCUUUCAAGAAUCUUUCCCAUAGCUGACGGCCAACCUCCCAGUAGAAGAUCUGUUCCAGACCCAGGAAACAACAAAAUUCACAAUUUCAACCACAACUUCCUCAAGACAGAUCUCCACUCACUAGGAAAACACAGAUCUGCAAAGCCCAAUAACCAAACGAAAACUACACAAACCAUUCCAACCAGAAAAGGAGUAGAAUCUUACCCAGAUAUAGGAAACGUCGUCCCCUACCCCAAAGGGUAAGGGCAGCCACUGGAUAAAAAAUUGACUAAAUCUCGAGAUUGAGGAACAAGAAAACCAAUCUUGAGCGAAGAAUUCUCUCUCUGAAAGUUUAGAGAGAGACGCAAUUAUUUUUUGCGCAAAAUUCUUUUUUAUCUUCUCAUUCUG